rnacentral:rRNA from 1 species
AAUGUAGCAAUACAUGGCGAACUGCUCAGUAACACGUGGACAACCUGCCCUUAGGACGGGGAUAAACCCGGGGAACUGGGUAUAAUACCCGAUAGGUCUCGAUUGCUGGAAUGCAUCGAGAUUUAAAGCUCCGGCGCCUAAGGAUGGGUCUGCGGCCUAUCAGGUAGUAGUGGGUGUAGCGUACCUACUAGCCUACGACGGGUACGGGUUGUGAGAGCAAGAGCCCGGAGAUGGAUUCUGAGACACGAAUCCAGGCCCUACGGGGUGCAGCAGGCGCGAAAACUUUACAAUGCUGGCAACAGCGAUAAGGGAACCUCGAGUGCCAGGUUACAAAUCUGGCUGUCGAGAUGCCUAAAAAGCAUUUCAUAGCAAGGGCCGGGCAAGACCGGUGCCAGCCGCCGCGGUAACACCGGCGGCUCGAGUGGUAACCGUUAUUAUUGGGUCUAAAGGGUCUGUAGCCGGCCGGAUAAGUCUCUUGAGAAAUCUGGCAGCUUAACUGUCAGGCUUUCAGGAGAUACUGUCUGGCUCGAGGCCGGGAGAGGUGAGAGGUACUUCAGGGGUAGGGGUGAAAUCUUGUAAUCCUUGAAGGACCACCAGUGGCGAAGGCGUCUCACCAGAACGGACCUGACGGCAAGGGACGAAAGCUAGGGGCACGAACCGGAUUAGAUACCCGGGUAGUCCUAGCCGUAAACGAUACUCGCUGGGUGUCGGCCACGGUGCGACCGUUGUCGGUGCCGUAGGGAAGCCGUGAAGCGAGCCACCUGGGAAGUACGGCCGCAAGGCUGAAACUUAAAGGAAUUGGCGGGGGAGCACCACAACGGGUGGAGCUUGCGGUUUAAUUGGAUUCAACGCCGGA